UCCUCUUCUUCUUCUUCCUCUUCCUCUUCUUCUUCUUCCUCUUCUUAUUCUUCUUCCUCUUUCUCCUCUUCCUGUUCCUCUUCCUCUUCUUCUUCUUCUUCCUCUUCCUCUUCUUCCUCUUCUUCUUUUUCUUCCUCUUCCUCCUCUUCCUCUUCUUCUUCUUCAAUGACUUCUUCUUCUUCAAUGGCAUAAUGAAUCAUAUGGAAUUCACACAAU
rnacentral:lncRNA from 1 species